CUUGACUUCUAAACACAGCACCUCCCAUUAGCUCCCAAGUCUCUUGCACAUUUAAUUACAAAAGUGUUACAACAAUGUUUUAGCUUCUGCGGAAAGUUUAAAUGAGGUACCAGAUCAAAAGCUGUGUCAGGUAUGAAAAUGUGCGCACGUGUUGCUGGGUUGAGGGGCCGUGCCUUGCAACUCUGAGAUUUCUGUAUCUGCAAUCUCUUGCUUCCAUGGCCAUGGAGAGGGGAGUAGUCCCAGAAAUGAGGAGAUGGAGCAGUUCUCCCUGAACUGGAGGAGUUUAAAGGAAAAUUAAUCAGAGAAGAAAUGGAGCUAAACUGGCAGAAACCACAGAAUGCAGAUGGACAUAAUUCCGGUUACUUCUGUAGUGGGCAGCCCAUUAUAGAGACCCUUUACUCAAUUGAUGAAUCAUUUAUUAAUAAAGGUAUUGAUAAGUGUUAGAGUGGAUUUCUUUUUGGGUAGAUGAUUUGUUUACACUUCACCAGACUUCUAUUUUAAUUGUUUGGCAAAGGACUGUGGAUUGAGUCCACCACAAUGGGCUUCCUAAAAGGUGCAAAUACCAGAUGCUUCUGGUAGUUUGACCUGAUGCUGUAGUUUCGAAGACAGUAGCACCUAUACAUUAUAAAUAUUAAUUGUCUUCUAUGUUAGCACGGGAAAUGCCAAAUAAUUGUAUCGUAGACAACAGGAAUUCUGCAGAUGCUGGAAAUUCAAGCAACACACAUCAAAGUUGCUGGUGAACGCAG